AGUGAACGCUGGCGGUAGGCCUAACACAUGCAAGUCGAACGGCAGCACAGUAAGAGCUUGCUCUUACGGGUGGCGAGUGGCGGACGGGUGAGGAAUACAUCGGAAUCUACUUUUUCGUGGGGGAUAACGUAGGGAUACUUACGCUAAUACCGCAUACGACCUACGGGUGAAAGCAGGGGAUCUUCGGACCUUGCGCGAUUGAAUGAGCCGAUGUCGGAUUAGCUAGUUGGCGGGGUAAAGGCCCACCAAGGCGACGGUCCGUAGCUGGUCUGAGAGGAUGAUCAGCCACACUGGAACUGAGACACGGUCCAGACUCCUACGGGAGGCAGCAGUGGGGAAUAUUGGACAAUGGGCGCAAGCCUGAUCCAGCCAUACCGCGUGGGUGAAGAAGGCCUUCGGGUUGUAAAGCCCUUUUGUUGGGAAAGAAAAGCAGCAGGUUAAUACCCCGCUGUUCUGACGGUACCCAAAGAAUAAGCACCGGCUAACUUCGUG
rnacentral:rRNA from 1 species